AAGAGGUUGGAGGGGUGACAGAUUUUUAUCUCUAAUCUCCUUUCUAGAAUUCACGGGACCUCCAAUCAUCCCAUUCUACAUUUUUUCACUCCCACUUUUACACAAGGAUCGACGGCUGCUCCUCCGGCGAAAGUGAGCAACUCCCCUCAUCUCCCUCUUUGGCUUAACAUCUCUCUACUCACCCACACACAACACCAUAUCUCUUCUCUGCAUUUCCGUCGUCGUCGGCUUUCCGGCAGCUUCCGUCGCCGGUUUCCGACAAUCUUAGAGUAGACUUGUCUUCCCUUUGAGUAAGCAAGUCCCUUACCUUUCGAAUUUGUUCAAUUUCUGCCUCAUCUUAAAGCUAGGGUUCUUAAAUUGGUUUCUCCCCAAUUUGAAUUUAAGUAAAAUUAGAGUAUAUCGUUGGAUUAUCUUAGAUAGUAGGUUUUUGGAGGUUGCAAAUAUAUAUUAUGUUGUGGUGAAAGAAAAAAAGGAGAUAGCCUUUUGUGCCAUGUUCUGGCCGAAUUUGUCAACUCCAGUUUAACCAAGUAAUCCUGCCCCGAGAGAUAGCACGGGCAAGGAGAAGGCAAAGGAGUAAAGUGAUCUAGUAUGGCAUUUUGGAUUUUAAGGUAGUAUAUUCUACAUUAGGUCUUAAUUCCUGAAUUAAGUUUACGUGAUUGCAUAUAGAAUAUUGUGUGUUAAUCGGUGAUACAUUAUGUGAUCUAUAUAUUUUGCUUAUGACGUGAAAUAUGUGAAUAUUGGAUAUGUGAUGAUAUUGAUAGCAUUGGAAUUUAUCUAUUUAGUUGAUAUGAUAUGGUGUAAAAAGAAGUUGUUGAUCUGAUAUGUUAAAGAUUAUUGGAAAUAAGUAAUUUUAUGAGAAAAUGAAUAUAAAUGUGGCUGGAAAGUUAAUAAGAUAAAUUUGUAAAUGAGCAUUAAGGUAAAUGAGAUAAAUGAUAUAUGCCUAUGAAAUGUAUACUUAUAUGAUUUAUAUGUGAAGAUGUCUGAUCUAUCUGUGAUGAAUUCUGAUCUGUAUGCGUUGAUGUGUUAUGUCUGAAAUUGUACGAUAUACAGUAUAUUUGAUUGUGUUUACGCCCAUGCUUGAGUGUGUUCUGUGGGUACAAUUGGCAUGCCGUAGGACAGCAGCGUUGCAUUAUCUGUGAUCACUCGUCUUCUGGAUAACCGAAGCGAGGAUCGUCUGUUAUAUGAUGGGCCCCUUUCUGAUCUGUCUAAUUUGCACUCUAAUGGGUGGUCUGAUUAUCUGUCUGCACCCUAAUGGGUGGUCUGUGCGGCAUCCUCUCGAGGACCAUGGCCGCGUCUGUAUCUGAUUCUGUUUUUGAUCUGGUCCGCGUACCCUAGUUUGUCACUAAGCACUUAAAGGGGCUAUAUGUGUUUUGAUAUGUGAGAACAAUGGUGAUCGCUAUGUGUUUUAUGAUAUGUGAUUGUGUGAAACCUCUGUUAUAACUCGGAUAUAUCUGACAUGAGAGCAUGUUUUGUCAUAUGUGUUUGGAUAUGUGAAACUGUAGUGAUGUGUAUAUGCGUUGGUGUGAUUAUAUGAUAUAAAGUGCUACACGAUAGUGAAUGCCAAGAUAUGACGUUAUAUGAUCAAGGCGAUGAUAUGUGAAAACUAUAUGUUUACGUGAAAAACGAUAUUAUGUUAUGCUAAAUGAUAUAUUCUGAUGCUAAUGAUCCUCUGAUGCAAAAAGGGUGAAUCUGACAAUGUUUGACAUGAUUUGACGUUGUAUGAAGUUAUGAUGUUGCUCGACACUAGCUACUGAUAAUUGAUCAUAUUUAUUGGUAUACUAUGAGAUUAUAUGAUUAUGCCUUAAGUAAGUCUCAGGAAAUCAAGGGAGGACGAUAUAAAGGUCAGACUUUUAUUGUUGUUGGUUAUUUUGAUAUGUAUAUGGUUAUGAGAAUGUUGGUUCUGGAGAAUAGUCAAGGGUUAAUAUUGUAAACACAUAGGUUGUAUAAUGUUUACUUAACUCCGGAAAUUAGGCUCUAAUGUUGAGUAUACUACUGGGCUUGUUGAAGCUCACCCCUUUCUUUUCCCCCUGCAGAUUAGCUCUUUCGAUGUACAGCUGCUCAAGUCGGGUCGCUAGCCAACCUUUUUGUGUUCAGAAAAUUCUUUCGGAUAUACUAGAUGUGGCAUGUAUAGAAAGUGUAAUAGAGUUUGGACGUUUCAUUUACUUCGUUAUCCAGGUGUAUAAAUAUAUAUAUAGACUUUUGGAAACAGGUUUAUGGUCUAAUUUCAGAUGUUAUAUAGCAGUUUUUCCGUUUGCCAA